rnacentral:tRNA from 1 species
GGCUCGUUGGUCUAGGAGUAUGAUUCUUGCUUUGUGUGCGGGAGAUCCCGGUUGCAAAUCCCGGAUGAGCCG